CCUACGGGUGGCAGCAGUGAGGAAUAUUGGUCAAUGGACGAGAGUCUGAACCAGCCAAGUAGCGUGAAGGAUGACUGCCCUAUGGGUUGUAAACUUCUUUUAUAUGGGAAUAAAAUGGUCCACGUGUGGGAUUUUGUAUGUACCAUAUGAAUAAGGAUCGGCUAACUCCGUGCCAGCAGCCGCGGUAAUACGGAGGAUCCGAGCGUUAUCCGGAUUUAUUGGGUUUAAAGGGAGCGUAGGUGGAUAGUUAAGUCAGUUGUGAAAGUUUGCGGCUCAACCGUAGAAUUGCAGUUGAAACUGGCAGUCUUGAGUACAGUAGAGGUUGGCGGAAUUCGUGGUGUAGCGGUGAAAUGCUUAGAUAUCACGAAGAACUCCGAUUGCGAAGGCAGUUCACUGGACUGCAACUGACACUGAGGCUCGAAAGUGUGGGUAUCAAACAGGAUUAGAUACCCUUGUAGUC
rnacentral:rRNA from 1 species